rnacentral:rRNA from 1 species
GCCUCUUGAUUAAACCAUAAGAGGUCUAGCCUGCCCAGUGACAUUGUUUAACGGCCGCGGUAUCCUAACCGUGCGAAGGUAGCGUAAUCACUUGUCCUUUAAAUGAGGACUAGUAUGAAUGGCCCCACGAAAGCUAUACUGUCUCCUUUUUCUAAUCAGUUAAACUAAUCUUCCCGUGAAGAAGCGGGAAUAAACAUAUAAGACGAGAAGACCCUAUGGAGCUUUAAACAAUUGAAACACUUGUAUUUCUCAUUAUACUUCAGAAACCUACACUUAAUCUCACAUUUUGUUUCCAGUUUUAGGUUGGGGUGACCACGGAGAAAAAAUCAACCUCCACGCUGAAAGGGCCUUACCUCUAAACAAAAAGCUACACCUUUAGGUAUUAACACAUUAACACAAAUUGACCCAAUUAAUUGAUCAACGAACCAAGUUACCCUAGGGAUAACAGCGCAAUCCAUUUCAAGAGCUCUUAUCGACAAAUGGGUUUACGACCUCGAUGUUGGAUCAGGGUAUCCUAGUGGUGCAGCCGCUGCUAAUGGUUCGUUUGUUCAACGAUUAAAACCCU